CAGACCCUCCCUCCCAGACCUUCCCACCUCCUGGACAGCUCACUAAGAAUGCAGAUUCACAAUGGAUGCUGUCCAGGAGGUGGGAAGGUCUGGGAGGGAGGGUCUG